UCCACAGGUGGAGGUAAGGCGCCAGGUAAAAACGCCAUGUACAUUGUACCCUGCUUUUGAGUAAUACAAACACAGUGGGAGCCUCUCCCACUGUCCAAUUCCUCAAAAAAAAAAUGACGCGAUAGUUGGAAAAUAGUUCAAGUGUUUUCUACUUCACCUCCCAUGUUUUCCUCUCCAAAAUCUGGUGUGGGUUUAGGGUUAUAUGAUUUGGGUAGCAUAUAAAAUCCUGUAGAAUUAGUUGUUUUACUGACUAGGCGAUGAUCAUUUCAAACACUGCAAAGUUAUGCAGUGAAACGUCCAUAUCAGUCCAGCCGGUUCCACAAUUCUAAGCCUGAGGCAGUUGCAGCUGCAUCAGGUUGUUGUGCUGGUUGUUCUGUACGUAUUGUAAUGAUGUAGAACUUGUGACUAUGUUCGCCGAGCUGGGUGCUUUGGUGUCUGGUUGCAUCAGCUUCCCCACCCACGCCCACGACAGCACGCGACCGUCCCUCCUCCUCCUCGACCUCCCUCCUAGCUGCUGCCGCCGCCUCCCCCCUUCCCCCUCUCUCUUUCCCAUGCCGCCGCCUCUCCUCCUCCUCCUCCCCACGCUAGACCCUCCACCUUCCAUCCCUAGCUCCCCUUCCCCCGAUCCCCAUGGUGCUAGAGAGAAAAAGGCAGGCAACGCGGGCAGCGGCAGCGACAGAAAAAGAGGAGCGAGACCGUGUCUUCUCCACGCACGUGCUUUGUAAUAGAUUUCAUAGGUCUGCUCUGUACCAAGAAAUACCUGCAGGUUUUAAUAUUCCUAUGUGCAUUAACCUCAGUCACAUAUUGCACAUGGAUGUUAGUGAUUUCCUUUCUCGGCAGUUAUCAUUUUGACAUUAUGUCCUUCAUAGCUUGAUUAAAGGUCUAGAGAAGCAAGGUUUAUUUCUACACUAUAUUAUGCUUGUUGUGUAUUGAGAAAGAACGCAUUGUUUGUGACAUUUAUUUCGGAUGCUUUCUAUACAACGCUCUUGAUUCUUUAUGAUCAGUGUCCUUGAUAAUUUUUUUCCUUCUUGUUUCUUUCCGACAUGUACAAGGGGCUCAUUGGUCGCUUGGCCUGCUUUUGGUAUAUCAAUGAGAAUAUCCCUGACAUAAAUUCGUUUAGUGACAGUCUUGGAGAGAAAUUUACUAUUGUCGAUGCAUACACUCAUCCGGGGUAGAAUCUGAUCUCGAGUAAGCAUUGUGCUCCACCAGAAGAAAAAACUAUGGAGCAUCUGGAUGUCUUAAUCCUAACAUUCGGUAGGUUGUUGAGUGUUUGCUUGCUUAUUUCUUUAUUUUGCAUUGCUAUUGACGUGUGUCCAUAGGCGCUGGUUGUUUCUCGAUUUCACAUUUCAUAGGGAGUGCACUUUGUUUGAUGCCUUGAAAGAGCAGUAUAUUGGGCAUCAUGAGAUAGUCAUCCAGAGUUUGGUCAGAUUUGAACUGAUUUGGCUUACAAUUUGUAAUUUUGCAAUCAGCUUUCCUACAAGGUACUUUCAGAUCUUCAUUCGAGUUAUUAUACAUGAUCGUUAAAAAUCCCUCGAAAAUGAACUCCAUUGCUGUAAUUGAAAAUUUAAAAGCACAAGAUUUAAUGGCUUGUGUGGUCAUACAUAUUGAUGCUUAUUUAUUUUUAGUAGACCCUUUAAAGGAAUAAGAUCAUCGUUUAGUAUGCAAGCAGCUAUAUUUCCUUACCAUUUGUUCAUGUUUUGCUUUCUAGAAGGCAAAUUUUAUACACAAGGCGUUGGUUAUACUGAGGUCUGCGUCUAAUCAUUAGGCAGCAAUGUCUCGACUACUUUCCACCAAAUAGUGAUAAGUUGGCUGCUCUUUUGUGUCUAUUUGCGCAACUGUGUGAUGGUGCCAAUGGAGUCAAAUGUAUAUAAUGCUCAGCGGUGGCAGACACUAGCCCGGCUUGGGCAAGGGCGCAACUGCUGAUGACCGCGGGUGGGUGGACAAUGGAGGCUGUUGACCAUCAGCAGCUACGAGUUCAAGUUGUCAUCAUAGGCUCCUCAGUUUUUACUCUCCUGCUUGUGCUAAGGAUAACUCGAUUUCUUGAUUCUAUCUCAGGAAAACAACCCCAACCUUAAAAUUAUAAUGGCAUCCCACACUGUACUUUCCUGAAUCAUGUCGUAUGCAAGGACUCCCUUAAAUAUUACUCCCUCUGAAUUACAUGCGCAGACCUUCUGGAUGGUUGGCUUGGUUGUCCGGAUCAGCUUUAUAUGGGGAAACCAUAUUCCAACAGUAAAAUUGAUAAAAUUGAAGUAGCAAGGUAUUUCUUUGCUUAUUUGGUUGCUUCUCUUUCUACAACUUUCUUACUGAAGGAACAUAACAGAAGGCCUUACUGUUACGGCAAUGGUAUUUGAUUAAGUAUAUCACCAUCAUCAUCAUCAUGCUGCUAAAUUCGUAGUCUUGAACUUUGAUUGUUUGUUAUACGGUAUAGAAUAGUGAAGUCAAACAGUUAAUUCAGCACUGCUCCUCCACGUUAGAAUUAACCAUUGGGGCUUUUGAUAGAGGUGAUUUUGUUUAGAUAAUUAGUCUAGGGAGUAACCUUUUGAUCGAUAAGGCACAUGUUUAUUUGCUUUUUCAUUCAGCGAUACACUAAAGUAACCAUCACCAUCAGCUAAAAGUAGGCAUACAAAACAUGAAAAUUUUGCCUUGGAUGUAUGCCUCACUUAGCUGUCGCUCAUUUAUUUCAAGGAAGUUAUUCGUCGAGCUUUCUUAUGCUUCCAGUUUCUAAAUAUGAAAUUUAAUACAAUAUAUUAAUAUCUGAGGAGGUGAGAGAAGAAGAAAAGAGGGGCUGUCAGGUCGGAUUUAUGUGCUAUAUUCAUUUUAAUUUGUUGAGCAAUAUUCCACCGGCAUUUCUUAAGAGCUAAAACUGAACCAGAAUUCCAAGUUUAGGGGUGCAACAAUUCAGUUUAAACAUCCAAUAUCCGGCUGUUUUACAUAGCUAGCUGCAGCCAAUGCGAAGCCUUUACCUUUGGGAACUACUUCUUACUGCGUGCCCUGACUAAACUGAACUAGAUCACUUGUAUAUCUCUGAACUAAAAUACACCCAAGUUCCUAUUUCUGCUAGAACUGAAUAUAUAUGGUUGCCUUGUGACUUUCUUCUUUUAUGUUGUGUGCAAUCUCCAAUCAAUAUCUUUUUUGCAUUUCACAACGAUAUCUCUUCUGCUCAAUUUUUAUGCUACAUUUCGCCUCUAUAGUCAACCUGAACAGACCUGAUCCAAAGGAAUUGUACUACAUACAAGGUGUGUCUGAACAUCGUUUUAAAGAUAGUGUUGCCUUGUGAAAGCAACAUUCUUUUUGUUUCAUGGUUCAAUAGAGGUCUCAUAGUGAACUACAACACUAGGUUGCAGUAUAAUGUCAGCUGAUUGCAACAUCCUGAGUUACUUUAGAAGUUUUCAUCUGGAAACUUGAUUUUCUUUUGACAUUCAUUGCACAUGUAGUCUGAUUUGUGCACAAGGAAGCUCACAAAUUUGUCUCCAUCUUUUUCGUAGUAAUCAUAUGGCUUGCAUAUUUUAUCAGACUGACCAUAGUCACGAAGAUCAGACUAAUAAUAUUUGGUAGAGAAGAUCAGAAGAAACAUUUAUAUCAUAUUUUUGUAUGCUUUUUCUGUAGAAAAGGUACCAUGGAUUGAUUGUGUUGGAUCCCAUUACUAUAUGAUGUAUUUGACUGCUAUUCCUAAAGACUACUCCUGGACAGAGUGUUCUAUGUUGACAUGUCUUACAUUCUAUUGUGUCGCCUAUCUGUAUAGUUACUCGGAUCUUACAUUUUUGUAUUUUUGUCGAUGCAGGUGUGUUCUUCCUACUAUAAAGCAACAUGGAUUUAUUUAAAUUAAAUUGUGCAUAUUUUGGAAAAUAAAUCUUGUGUGUCUAUAGUCAUGUUCAUGUAUGUUCUGAACUGAGACAAAUAUUCUUCAUUGUCUAUGCUUUUUCCUUCUGUUAAUGAUGAUAGUGAAGUUCUCCAUCUUAUUACUUCCUUACCCAUUCACUUGAAAUAUUGCCUAAAUAUUAUUAUUUUUGUAGUUGGUUUAGCAGCCUGACUUAGAUCUUCUACAUUGCCCAUAGAGAAUCUUCAAAAGUGUAGUCAUAUAUGUCACUUGAUAAAUUCCAGGACAUAUCUAUACUGCUCC